rnacentral:rRNA from 1 species
GAUGAACGCUGGCGGCGUGCCUAAUACAUGCGAGUCGAGCGAACAGAUGAGGAGCUUGCUCCUCUGACGUUAGCGGCGGACGGGUGAGUAACACGUGGAUAACCUACCUAUAAGACUGGGAUAACUUCGGGAAACCGGAGCUAAUACCGGAUAAUAUAUUGAACCGCAUGGUUCAAUAGUGAAAGACGGUUUUGCUGUCACUUAUAGAUGGAUCCGCGCCGCAUUAGCUAGUUGGUAAGGUAACGGCUUACCAAGGCAACGAUGCGUAGCCGACCUGAGAGGGUGAUCGGCCACACUGGAACUGAGACACGGUCCAGACUCCUACGGGAGGCAGCAGUAGGGAAUCUUCCGCAAUGGGCGAAAGCUUGACGGAGCAACGCCGCGUGAGUGAUGAAGGUCUUCGGAUCGUAAAACUCUGUUAUUAGGGAAGAACAAAUGUGUAAGUAACUAUGCACGUCUUGACGGUACCUAAUCAGAAAGCCACGGCUAUCUACGUG